CGAUCAUAACCGCGACCGGCGGUUUUCUCGUUUACUACUAAAAACGGCUGAAUAGUUGAAACAACAAUAAUUAGUGCUCCUCCCGGCGGUGGUUUGGUGUCCCSCAUCGAUGAAGAACGCAGCCAACUGCGAGAAACGUAGUGUGAAUUGCAGAUCGAAUCGUCGACUCUUUGAACGCAAAUGGCGCUCGUCGCUUCGAGCGGCGAGCAUGGCCGGUCGAGAGUCCGUUCCCUCGUCGUACCGAGACAGACGUCCGGUGAGUUGGAGCCGUCGCGGCCCGCCGCCCGUCUUUUCCGCCGCCGACGCGGUGGAAGAGACCUCGGCCGCGUCCUCCGAAGUGCAGAAACGAGCCCAUCGUCCCGAGGAGAAACGCGCGGACGAAGGUGUGUGUGUGUGUGGA
rnacentral:rRNA from 1 species